UACGAAGGGGGCUAGCGUUGCUCGGAAUCACUGGGCGUAAAGGGUGCGUAGGCGGGUCUUUAAGUCAGGGGUGAAAUCCUGGAGCUCAACUCCAGAACUGCCUUUGAUACUGAGGAUCUUGAGUUCGGGAGAGGUGAGUGGAACUGCGAGUGUAGAGGUGAAAUUCGUAGAUAUUCGCAAGAACACCAGUGGCGAAGCCGGCUCACUGGCCCGAUACUGCCGCUGAGGCACGAAAGCGUGGGGAGCAAACAGG
rnacentral:rRNA from 1 species